rnacentral:misc_RNA from 1 species
CGUUGCACAGACUCGUGUUGCACGGUGGACCUCCUGGGCUCUCCACUACACGACUGCUUCGGGAAAGGCAGCGACGUACACCAGCAUGCACACAUAUACGUGUGGGUGUCUGUGCUCAAUCCCUCGUUGCCCUCAUCGAGCACAAACAAAAAACGUGACUCUCCUUGCGUGAAAAACCAAAUAUCGUGACCCAACAGCUUCAUCACGUGUUCGUCUCUCCCAAGCACGCACGCUGGCUCUCGUCCCCUCCUGCUCCUCUCAAGAAGCAAAAUCAACGGUGGCGAUGUCGGAGAGUUAUAGUGGCGAUUACUACCACUUCGUAACGCAGCGGAGCCAGGCAGCUGAGAUUGUCCUGCCGAUUCCGUCUUUCUGCAAGCCGCUCGCCGCUUCGGUGCGACUCUUUGGUGAGGGAAAGACGGGCCUCCUCGCCUCCUUCUUCGAUCCCGAGCAGCACGCCUGGGUGGUGCGGCAGCUGCCAGUGCACGAGUCAUGGCCGCAUCAGCCACCACCGUGCCUCACUGUGCGGGUCGUUACGCUGGUGGACCCGGCCAACCUCUACGAACUUCGUGUGUCUCUCUCCAGCGUGCUCGACGGCAUCGACAACGAUGAGCUCUGUGCUCUGCAGCGACGCUCCCAGAUCUAUGGGCUGCUUCUCGAGGAGCACCUCGACGACAAGUCCGGUGCCGCUUUGCGGUGUGCUGGCGCAGAGGGGCGGCUGCCGCAGCUGAGGGAGGCCGUGACGCUUGCUGCGCCAGUGGAUGUGAUGGAUGGCUUUGUGCUGACCGGCGGCGGCUUUCUUUCGGACUUCCCGGUGCUGCGAGACGGCCCGGCACUGCCGCGCUCGAUAAGCACCGUGUACGAUGACAUUCUCGCCGGCGACGACUUCUGUGGCCCGCCGAUGCCCGCAGGUGGCGCACGCUUUGCAGGGACGGACUUGGCCGCCGAAACUAGCGGGGGCAGGGGCAGCGGCUCGCCAAUGAACUCGAACGAGCUGCGAGAGUACACGGCGUGGUCUGUGACGGCGGCGGCGAACGCUGGGUUGGCGUGCAUCUCGAUAAGCUUGCGCCGCCGGAGCCCGAUAGAAUGGUCUCAGCUGCAGUCAGAAUCGCAUCACAUCCACUCCGCAUCCCUGCACGAGAGCAUGGGUCCGGGGGCAUCGCUGUCCAUUAGCCCAGGACCCGUGUGGGCCAAGCCGCCCCCUAGCGUUGUCAGCGAUAGCGGGGCUCUCACCGUCGUUCAAGGCUCUGGCGCCCCCGUCUCAGGUUUGCGGCCCAAUGAGCAUGGAGACGGCGGGAACGGCGCUCAUGGCGUUGUGAGUGCUUAUUCGUCCGCGGCGGUGGCAACCACGGCGGCGCGUCCGCUGCUGGAGACACUGACGCUGCGCGGGGAGGUGGAAGUGAAGCUGUCCCGCCGUGAUGGCGAAGAAUGGGGCAUCUCUCUCCCGCCCCCGCACGGGAGCCUGAAAUUUCCCAUGGGCCCCAAUCGCGAGCUCGUGGCGGCCGCUCGGCGGUACUUUUACUGCGAAUAAAGCAGGGAGCGACACGAUCAUGGCGGAGACGUACUCCUAGGCAGGGGUGAGGGGAUGCGGCACAGCACACGCAGACUUUUCUCAAAACUGCGCGGGGUGCGCGGUUGUACUUAGAGUAGAUGGCCACGGCCCAAUC